rnacentral:rRNA from 1 species
CCUACGGGCGGCAGCAGUGAGGAAUAUUGGUCAAUGGGCGCGAGCCUGAACCAGCCAAGUCGCGUGAGGGAGGACGGCCCUACGGGUUGUAAACCUCUUUUGCCGGGGAGCAACGGGCGUCACGUGUGGCGCCACUGAGAGUACCCGGAGAAAAAGCAUCGGCUAACUCCGUGCCAGCAGCCGCGGUAAUACGGAGGAUGCGAGCGUUAUCCGGAUUUAUUGGGUUUAAAGGGUGCGUAGGCGGAUGGUUAAGUCAGUGGUCAAAUUGAGGGGCUCAACCCCUUCCCGCCAUUGAAACUGGCGUUCUUGAGUGGGAGAGAAGUAUGCGGAAUGCGUGGUGUAGCGGUGAAAUGCAUAGAUAUCACGCAGAACCCCGAUUGCGAAGGCAGCAUUCCGGCUUCCGACUGACGCUGAAGCACGAAAGCGUGGGGAUCGAACAGGAUUAGAUACCCUAGUAGUC